rnacentral:rRNA from 1 species
CCCUACGGGGGGCAGCAGGCGCGAAAACUUUACAAUGCGGGAAACCGCGAUAAGGGGACACUGAGUGCCAGCAUAUUAUGUUGGCUGUCCACA